UACAGAGGGGGCAAGCGUUGUUCGGAAUUACUGGGCGUAAAGGGCGCGUAGGCGGCCUUCUAAGUCGAACGUGAAAUCCCCGGGCUCAACCCGGGAACUGCGUCCGAUACUGGAAGGCUUGAAUCCGGGAGAGGGAUGCGGAAUUCCAGGUGUAGCGGUGAAAUGCGUAGAUAUCUGGAGGAACACCGGUGGCGAAGGCGGCUUUCUGGACGACAACUGACGCUGAGACGCGAAAGCGUGGGGAGCAAACAGG
rnacentral:rRNA from 1 species